UUAACAAAAACAUGUGUUUUUGAGUUAUUUUUAAAGUCUGACCUGCCCACUGAAAUUAUUUAAAUGGCCGCAGUAUUUUAACUGUGCAAAGGUAGCAUAAUCAUUAGUCUUUUAAUUGAAGGCUGGUAUGAACGGUUGGACGAGGUAUAAGCUGUUUCAUAUAAAUUUAUAAUAGAAUUUUAUAUUUUAGUCAAAAAGCUAAAAUUUUAUUAAAAGACGAGAAGACCCUAUAAAUCUUUAUACUUUGUGUUGUUUAAAUUUUUUAGAUUUAUUUUAUUUUUAUGACUUAAAGUAUUUUGUUGGGGUGAUAUUAAAAUUUGAUGAACUUUUAAUUGUUUAAGAUCAUUAAUUUAUGAUUUAUUGAUCCAUUAGUAGUGAUUAUAAGAUUAAGUUACUUUAGGGAUAACAGCGUAAUUUUUUUGGAGAGUUCUUAUCGAUAAAAAAGUUUGCGACCUCGAUGUUGGAUUAAGAUAUAUUUUUAGGUGUAGCCGCUUAAAUGUUAAGUCUGUUCGACUUUUAAAUUCUUACGUGAUCUGAGUUC
rnacentral:rRNA from 1 species